AAAAAAUUAGUUAAAAAAUAACAUUAGCUUGUCAAGCUAAAAUUAUUAAUCAAUUAAUAUUUUUUA
rnacentral:tRNA from 1 species